rnacentral:lncRNA from 1 species
CCUUUGCUUCCCCUCUCCUUCCUCCCUCUCCCUCUCCUUCUGGUCUUUCUUACUGUCAUUUUGGAAAGGAAACCGAUCAUGGCAGAACUAAGAGAUUACAGCUGGAGCCAGGAACUUAAGUCAGUCACGAGACUACUGGAAGGGUGAACCGCUGUCCCCUACUUCAAGCCACUUGUACCUCUGAUCCAUACCCAAGCACCACACCAAAGCAAGAAGGAUGAGCUUCGGUUUCGAAGGCGCCGGCCACAAAUGAGAACGUCACCUGACCCGAAAAAUAAGUUCCUGUCAAAGCACUU